rnacentral:lncRNA from 1 species
GGGUUCUAAGCCAACAGCCUAAAUACUUUAGGUCCAUUAUUUAGGUCCAAGUUCAACCACUAGACCUGUACUUCACAAGCCUUCAGAGGAUUCCUGCUUUCAGCCAGCAAGCUUUUUCAGCUGAAGCCCCCAGUAUCAUGGAACAGAAUCAGAUUAUUUCCACCGAGUCCUUUUCAAUUUCUUAACCCACAGGAUUUAUGAGCAUUAUGAAGUCAUUAUUGCUUUCUGCCACUAGGCUGAGAGUGGACCACAUAUACAGAAAUAGAAAACUAUUAAUAGAAAAAUAUAUUGCAAACAUCUAAUCCUCAAACCCCAUUCAAGUUUUGCCAACUACUCUCCAUCCUAUCAAAUAUUCCUUAUACCAAAAGAUCCGGUUCAAAAAUAAGUGUUGCAUUUAUUUUUUAACCUCUUUUGAUCUGGAAUAGCUCCUCACACCGUCUUUCAUGACUUUAGUGCUUUGGAAGACUACAGAAGUUUAGGCUCAUCUGAAAUUUCCCUGCCGUCACCUGGGAAUCAACCAUUUCUUCAGGGAGUCCUAGUUUCUUUUAGCGUAUAGCCACCAAUUUCUACUGAGUAUUUAUCUACUAUAUGGCAGGUCAAGUCUGCAUUCUGGGAUAAAGUGUUGACACAAUCUUGAAUCAGUGCCUAAGGAGUUCACAAGUCCAGAGAGGGGAUAGCGUAUAUAGGAAGCAAGGGACAACAGAAGCCUAGAAUUCCCAGUGAGCCAGAUUUCCAAGGCUCAAGAAAGCCAUCCAAGGAAAAUACAAUCAAUCCUGUGCAUGCUCGUCAUUGCACUGCUGCUGAAGCACCCCUGAAAGCACUCCCCUCCGAGUUAUAUAACCUGGGGAUAAUUGGCAUUGCUGGACUAAAGUUUGGCAGGACAUCCUGUUCCAGAAGGAAGCGGAACAGAGUACAGCCUGCUGUGGACAGUUCCUUUUUGUGUCAGGAUGCUUCAUUCGCAGCACAUUCUACAAUUAUUCUGAGAGCUACAAGCAAGAAAGACAAGGGAGAACUGGGUUAGCUAAGAAAUAUAUUUCUGGCAACAGUGGAGAAGAAUGAUAGGAAGAGAAUCAUACUGGAAUAGUAUAAUCCAUUGGAAGGUUGUUGUAAUGAAGGCAAGAAGAAAAAUGAUCUUGAAGGCAAGAAGAAAAAUCAUAAUGAAGGAAAGGAGAGAUGAGUUUACCAAAUAUAAUCUCAGAAUUGUUCUGUAAAUUUCAUUUCUGCUUUAGCAGCCAUAAAGAGCUCCAUUUAUUACAGUAGGAACAGAGGCAACAGUUACAUGGGUGGCUGGCAGUGAUAGAAAAGAUUUUAGUUUUGAUACAUGGAAUUUGACAUGCUUUUUGAAAAUCUUCAGAUGGUGAUGUACAGUAAGUUGUUGAAUCUUUAUUUUCCAAGCAUCUACACGUACACAACACACAUAUACACACAAUACAAGUUCAUUUAAAGCUCAUCACAUUUGUAAUCUUUAAAAAUUUAUAUUUCUUAAGAACUGCUCUUGUCAGAUAAGGGCUUAAGUGGGAGAAAUCAAAACUAAAAGGAGAUGAUCUAUUACAGUACUAAACUUUACAUGGAAAGUAUUCAUAUUAUGGUGUAAGGUGUAGAAGUUCAUGGCAAGCCAGCACUCUUAAUGCAACUGCUACAAAAGACAAAUAAAUAAACUGCAUAACUAUAUAUUUGAAAAAGUUUGAAGAACUAUUAGAUAAAUUCAGAAAAGAUGAACUUAAAAUCUUGAAGAAUUUGCCAUUUUUUAGUAUUGGCAGAAGCUGGGUUUACCCAGGCAAAGAGCCUUUAUGGUUAGAAAAACACAAUAAAACAAUAAUAAUCUGAUAGGUGGACGGGGCUGGUAUGAAAGAUUGGAACUAUGCGGAACUCCAAAUUCAUAGUUGUUUCUCACCAUUAAACAUUUGCUGAUUUCUGGGGACAGAUAGGAAUUCUAAUAGGCAUAGCUGGCAAAGUGAAGGGAAAUCUCCCACAGUCUCAUAUUACUUGAAAAACAAAGUUCCAUUAAAAAGAAGAAGAUGGCUGUCAACAAAUUAGUAAUAGGCAAAUGGUGGAUAGGAAGCAGGACUAAAUUGCAACUCCCACUCAGACAGAGAGUAGCUUGUGGAGACUCACAUUGUGAACUUUUGCUCCCAGAACUACUGCAGGAACAUAUGAGGAAAGAUGAGAGAAUCCACAGACUCUUUGAAGGAAGCAGAUUGCUCCUGCAGGGCCUGGGAGACAACCCAAACACUGGGUCCUUAGGGAGAGGUGCCAGAGGAAUUGGAAAAAGGCCACAGGCAGAAGGAAGGCUCCAGCUGAACUUGAUGCAGUGAUGUGGAGGCAAAAAAGAGAAUAUUAUUGAUUAAAGGAAGAUGAAU